UUUUAAUUUAAUUUUACAUAUUUAUUUCUUUUCGGAAACCUCUCCUUAAAGCCAAUCAGCAUUGCUAAUGUAUUGGUCUCUUUCCAGCCUUGAGAAGUCACGCUGAGCCAACAUUAUUAGCACUCUGCAAAAUCAAAAGAGUCAGGACCAUUCUCCACCAAAUGGUCCCUUUUCUCCCUCACCUUUCUGGAUGUGGACCCUUGAUUACAGCACAUUCUCCUAAUUAUAAGAUCUACUUUGAACAUACUGCUUUAUUCCUAGAAAGCCAAUGGCCAUUAAUGACGUUAUCGCUGAAAUCCAUGAUCACAGGGGAAUUCAUCUCAUUUCCUACUGAUGAAAUGAAACUUCUGAAGCUCCAGAGGGUCUGAAUGGAAAAAUGGGCUGAGUUCUCCUACUCAGAAACCUCUAUGUUCUCCUCUCUGCACAGAUGCGGUAUUUAUUCCAUUCAGUCUAUAUUAAACCUAA
rnacentral:lncRNA from 1 species